AACAUCGCGCACCUGCGGGAACCUGCGGAGGGAUCAUUAGUGAAUUGGAGAGUGGGCUAAUCCCCCGCUUUUCUCUUUACACACUGUGAACGGAAUCGGCUGGGUUGAUCCCGGUCGAGGGCUUCGGCUCGAAUUCCUUCUUUGAAACUCCAAGUUGUAGGAUGUUCUUGGCUUUGCCAAUUACAAACAAAGAACAACUUUUAACAACGGAUCU
rnacentral:misc_RNA from 1 species